AUUAACGCUAGCGGCAGGCAUAAUACAUGCAAGUUGAACGAGAUAAGUUUUAGCAAUAGAACUUUGAAAGUGGCGCACGGGUGCGUAACACGUAUGCAACCUGCCCCAAACAGGGGGAUAGCCUCUCGAAAGAGAGAUUAAUACCCCAUAAUAAUGUUGUUGGGCAUCUAAUGAUAUUUAAAGCUGAGGCGGUUUGGGAUGGGCAUGCGGUUGAUUAGGUAAUUGGUGAGGUAACGGCUCACCAAGCCAACGAUCAAUAGGGGGUCUGAGAGGAUGUCCCCCCACACUGGUACUGAGACACGGACCAGACUCCUACGGGAGGCAGCAGUAGGGAAUAUUGGACAAUGGGGGCAACCCUGAUCCAGCCAUGCCGCGUGCAGGAAGACUGCCCUAUGGGUUGUAAACUGCUUUUGUACGGGAAGAAACCUCACUACGAGUAGUGAGUUGACGGUACCGUGAGAAUAAGGAUCGGCUAACUUCGUGCCAGCAGCCGCGGUAAUACGAAGGAUCCAAGCGUUGUCCGGAUUUACUGGGUUUAAAGGGUGCGUAGGCGGGCUAUUAAGUCAGUGGUGAAAGCCGAUCGCUUAACGAUCGAACUGCCAUUGAAACUGAUAGUCUUGAGUAUGUUUGAGGUUACUGGAAUAUAACAUGUAGCGGUGAAAUGCUUAGAUAUGUUAUAGAACACCAAUUGC
rnacentral:rRNA from 1 species